ensembl:miRNA aca-mir-5429 aca-mir-5429
ACAUGUUAUUUUCUAGGAAUCUCUAGAUCCCCCAGUGUGAUUCUAUGGUCAAUUUUUCUAUAGUCAUGCUGGAGGACCUCGAGAUUUCUAGAGAGAACAU